rnacentral:rRNA from 1 species
UCGACGAACUCUGGUAUUGAUUGGUGCUUGCAUCAUGAUUUACAUUUGAGUGAGUGGCGAACUGGUGAGUAACACGUGGGAAACCUGCCCAGAAGCGGGGGAUAACACCUGGAAACAGAUGCUAAUACCGCAUAACAACUUGGACCGCAUGGUCCGAGUUUGAAAGAUGGCUUCGGCUAUCACUUUUGGAUGGUCCCGCGGCGUAUUAGCUAGAUGGUGGGGUAACGGCUCACCAUGGCAAUGAUACGUAGCCGACCUGAGAGGGUAAUCGGCCACAUUGGGACUGAGACACGGCCCAAACUCCUACGGGAGGCAGCAGUAGGGAAUCUUCCACAAUGGACGAAAGUCUGAUGGAGCAACGCCGCGUGAGUGAAGAAGGGUUUCGGCUCGUAAAACUCUGUUGUUAAAGAAGAACAUAUCUGAGAGUAACUGUUCAGGUAUUGACGGUAUUUAACCAGAAAGCCACGGCUAACUACGUGCCAGCAGCCGCGGUAAUACGUAGGUGGCAAGCGUUGUCCGGAUUUAUUGGGCGUAAAGCGAGCGCAGGCGGUUUUUUAAGUCUGAUGUGAAAGCCUUCGGCUCAACCGAAGAAGUGCAUCGGAAACUGGGAAACUUGAGUGCAGAAGAGGACAGUGGAACUCCAUGUGUAGCGGUGAAAUGCGUAGAUAUAUGGAAGAACACCAGUGGCGAAGGCGGCUGUCUGGUCU